rnacentral:rRNA from 1 species
UACAGAGGGUGCGAGCGUUGUCCGGAAUCACUGGGCGUAAAGGGCGCGUAGGUGGCGGGCCAAGUCCAUGGUGAAAGCUCGAUGCUCAACAUCGAGUCGGCCACGGAUACUGGUUUGCUGGAGCACUGUAGAGGCAGAUGGAAUUCCGGGUGUAGCGGUGGAAUGCGUAGAGAUCCGGAAGAACACCGGUGGCGAAGGCGGGUCUCUGGGCCGAUAUCGACGCUGAGGAGCGAAAGCGUGGGGAGCGAACAGG